CCUACGGGAGGCUGCAGUGAGGAAUAUUGGUCAAUGGACGAGAGUCUGAACCAGCCAAGUAGCGUGAAGGAUGACUGCCCUAUGGGUUGUAAACUUCUUUUAUAUGGGAAUAAAAUGUUCCACGUGUGGGAUGUUGUAUGUACCAUAUGAAUAAGGAUCGGCUAACUCCGUGCCAGCAGCCGCGGUAAUACGGAGGAUCCGAGCGUUAUCCGGAUUAAUUGGGUUUAAAGGGAGCGUAGGUGGAUGGUUAAGUCAGUUGUGAAAGUUUGCGGCUCAACCGUAAAAUUGCCGUUGAAACUGGCAGUCUUGAGUAUAGUAGAGGUAGGCGGAAUUCGUGGUGUAGCGGUGAAAUGCUUAGAUAUCACGAAGAACUCCGAUUGCGAAGGCAGCUCACUGGACUGCAACUGACACUGAUGCUCGAAAGUGUGGGUAUCAAACAGGAUUAGAUACCCCUGUAGUC
rnacentral:rRNA from 1 species